GCUUUUGAUAUUUCCAUCUACAUCAAGAAUUGGUGUAAUAUUAGG
rnacentral:sRNA from 16 species